AUGUCAGGAAAUGGUGGCUUAUCUUUGGGAAGCCUAAUUCUGGCUUGCCAGUUCAUAAAGAAGUACUUUUUUCUCUUGGACUUGAAAAGAGCAAAGGAGAGUAUCAAGCUUGGUUACGCCUGCAGUCCUUGUGUUUGGGAUACUUUUAUUGAAGGAUUGACAGAAAUGGCAAGUUCCAAUCCUGCAUAUAUGGAGAUGGAAGAAGGAGACUUACCAACAUGAUUAGUUAUUGAAUGAUUCAGUUCCCUUUGACAAUCCUUUGUUGAUUGCUUAUGCUGCCCGGUUGUAUGAGAAGUUUGGAGAAUCUGCCCUUCGGUCCUUAAUCAGGUUUUACCCAUCUGUUUUGCCUUCGGAUGUCAUGCAACUUUGUCAUCAUCAUCCUGCUCAGUUUUUGGCCUAUUUAGACAGUCUGGUGAAAUCGGGGCCUGAAGAUCAACGGCCAUCCUUCCUUGAGUCCCUUCUACAACCAGAGUCUUUGAGAUUGGAUUGGCUGCUUUGGGCCGUGUCCCACGAUGCUCCCCCAAGCACAAGCACGAUGGACAAUGAAGGAAACCCCAGGCCUCAUUCACACUUGUGUUCGUGGGGUUAUAGCCAGCUGAUGCUUCAUCUCAUUAAACUACCUGCAGAUUUUACAACCAAAGAGAAAAUGACUGACAUCUGUAAGUCUCAUGGUUUCUGGCCUGGAUAUCUUUCUCUUUGUUUGGAGCUGGAAAGAAGAAGAGAGGCCUUCACCAACAUUGUGUGCCUAAAUGAUAUGAGCCUGAUGGAAGGGGACAAUGGUUGGAUCCCAGAGACUGUGGAGGAAUGGAAGCUUCUGCUACAUCUCGUACAGAACAAGAGCACGAACCCCCAGAAGUCGCCAAAUGGAAACUUCAGUGAUGGGCCUCCCCCCAUCAACGUGGAGAAUGUGGCACUCCUGUUAGCUAAGGCCAUGGGCCCAGAUCGGGCCUGGUCACUGCUACAGGAAUGUGGUUUGACCCUGGAGCUGUCAGAGAGGUUUACCAGAACCUGCGAUAUCCUAAGGAUUGCUGAGAAAAGGCAGAGAGCCUUGAUACAAAGCAUGCUUGAAAAAUGUGAUCGGUUUCUCUGGUCUCAGCAGGCCUAGUGGAAGAAGAUUCAGCAAAUGUCACAAUGCUUUGAGAAAAACUGAACCAUGCUCCUGAACCUCCUGAGUGCAUUUGCUGUUGAAGGAAAGUAGCACUCAGGAUGGUUUGAGAAGUGACGGAGGUCAUGAAUGUGAUGAAUGUGAAGCACGGAGCAGGCGCCUGGCACAGAGUACAGGGAGAGCCAUCUCUUGGUGACACGUGAGACUAAAGUGCAGGGCAGUAAAGCUUGUGACGGUGCCCAGGAACACGUGUUAGCUGUUGUGUGAGAGGAUUGGAAGAUCCUUGCACCCAGAAGUGAUCAGACCCGGGUAAGCUGGUUCAUACGAACCCGGGAGAGUGGGAGCACCAAAACUGAAGGUAAGAAUGUCCUUGUAUGUGUUAAAUGUCCCUGUCCUGCCCAAGGCUCCAAACCUUGUGAUCGUCCUUGCCUCUCCCCUCCUCAACCCUCAUUUACGUUUCCCUAGCCACCGCUAGGGAAAUCCUCUCAGUUCUGUGUUGGUGGUGGUUUCCACUGGUCAUUCCCCGUCCGCCCUCCCCCCCCCCCCCGCCAUCUCUCUUGCUGCCAGUCCACGUUCUCAUUUCUUCUUGCCUGCCUAGACAGUCGGAGCAGUCCUAGUGACCUUUCUUUCUUCACUUGUAAACACUGCCUUCCCCCCGCCACCCGCCACCACCACUCAGUCUCAGCGCCCUAAAAUACAAGCACCUAGGCAUCACCCAGGGCAGGUGAUUCACAGCCCUGCCACACAUUAGAGUCAGCACAGGAGCUUGUGAAAAAUACUGAGUCGGGGAUCCUGCCCCAGGCCUGGGAUCUGUAGAUCAAGGGUCUAAUACAAUCCUCAGCCGGCCUCCUACCCCCACAUUGUUGCUAGAUUUAGGUAGAGAGUGACCCUGGUUUACAGAUAAACCCGUCUUGGUCUCAUGGGAAGUUAAUGAGAGGUCCACUGCCAGAGUUCUUGUCCUUUUGAGGCACGGCCUUAGUCACACCUCUUCCCAAUCAGAAACUUUCGGUGGCUCCCCUCUGCUUUCAGAAUAAAGCCCGAAUCCUUGAGCUUGUCAUUGAAGGCCCUCUCUGACUUGUUUCCAAAUUCAGUUCCUCAGUUCGAGAGUUUGUCUCUCAUCCUGGAUUCUCUGUUUCGUGGAUACACUCUGCAUGUGGGCCUCUGGUUGGACCCCUGCUUAAACCCUGAAGUGUCCUUCGCCCCAGUCCCCCACCUGCUAAAUCCCAUUGGGGUUCGGUGCCUUCAGAUUCCACAUGUCAAUUUGGGUUAUUUUACAGAUAACAUAAACAAGGGGCUGAAAUCUCUCUUCGCACCAGGAAACAGUAACUUUAGAGUGGGGUCAGAGCUUUUCCUAACCCUUCAUUUAGAAGAAAUCUGCAUACCCCUAAACUUCCUGAAUAACACUACAGAGUUGGAACCCAGUGCUGCUGUGUGGAGUCUGGAGUUUCCAGUCAGCCCUGGUCUAAUGGAUCAAAUACAGAUCACAGAAGCAGCCUGGAAAAAUUCCUACUUGGUAAUUCUUUCCAGAGGGCUUAGAAAAAUACAGACUGGCACCACUGUGUCCUAAGUACAGACAAUGUUUUCCCAGAUAGUGUUUUUCCCAUCUUGCCCAAGUAAUACAUUUUUCCAGACGGGCAACUCUGAAUCAAUGUGAAUAUUCAAAUUGAUGUUUCCCUCUAGUGAUGUGGGCAAUAUUUAUACCUGUUAUCCAUAGGUAAAGCCUGGGUUUAGUGACUUAGUGUCAGGUUUGUUUGUUUUUUUUAAGUAUUUUUUUUAAAGAUUUUAUUUAUGUAUAUAUUUGAGAGAGAGAGAGCACAAGCAGAGGGAGAGGAAGAAGCAGGCUCCUUGCUGAGCAGGAAGCCCGAUGCGGGGCUUGAUCCCAGGACCCUGGGAUCAUGACCCGAGCCGAAGGCAGACGCUUAACCGACUGAGCCACCCAGGCGUCCCACCACCAUCUUGGAAUUUUUAAUAAUUUCUGAACAAGGAUCUCCACAUUUUUAUUUUGCAUUGGGACCCACAUGUUAAGUAACUGGCUCCGGCUGCCACAGGAGAUCUGAGGUGGAGCCUAAGAUUUUACGUUUCCAACAGGUUUCCAGGUGAUGCUUCCUUGGAUCACCCUCUGGGUAGCAAGGCUCAGUCUAAAGUCUGGUAAAGCAGCAACUUGGAAGGAGCCAAGGCCCCUGGCAAGUGGAUUACUUGCCACAUUAAGCGAAACAUAAAUUUUUGUAUUCCUUAAACUUCUGAA